rnacentral:misc_RNA from 1 species
AACGCACAUUGCGCCCUUUGGUAUUCCGAAGGGCAUGCCUGUUCGAGCGUCCUUAUCACCCCUCAAGCCCCGUGCUUGGUAUUGGACGGCCUGGUCGAGGUAACUCGACCCCUCCUAAAGACAAUGACGGCGGCCUGUGGUUCCCCCGGUACACUGAGCUUUUAACUGAGCACGUAUCGGAUAAGGGCGCCCAGGACCCGGUCCUCUCCUUUCACAAGGAAACUUUUCAAGGUUGACCUCGGAUCAGGUAGGAAUACGCGCUGAACUUAA